rnacentral:lncRNA from 1 species
GAGAGGCUUUGGAGCAGAGAUGCUAAAAUAUCACCGUGUAGGGUUUCCCUGUCAGGUUUGGAUGCUUUGAGAGACACCUGACACUCGGUGUUUUUGCAUCUAUGCAAAACCUCAGUUUCUCCGGGAAAGGAGAGAAAUGCAGGCGUUUUGAUCAACUGUCAAUGACAGCUUGCAGGUAGAGAGAUGAGAUUUCCAAGCUCUAAGGUUAUACAGUAGUUCUCUGGCUCCUUGUGGGAUAGAAAGUUUUGAACAGUGCCUCCCCAAGAAGUGUGAUGAGAAAUGGCUUUAGGAAACAAUACCCAGAGAAGUUAUUCCAUCAUCCCCUGCUUCAUCUUUGUUGAGGAACUUCUUAUGAGAUGGGAGGGGAGUUCUGGAAACUCUUGGAGGAACAUUAGGAUGCCAGUGAGGACAGCUACCAUGAGCCCAUGUCUGCUAACAGCAGCCUCUAGUCAACUCUGCCAGCUGCUCCUGAUCCAACAGGGCCCUGAGCUUGCAGAUCUUGAGUCUUGAGCAAGGAGGGUCAAGUGAGACACUGGCACAGCUUGCCGAGAUGCUGCAGCUUCCAAACCCUGAACCUUCAACUACAGCAGGAGAACAAACCCUGAACCUUUAACUGCAGCAGGAGAACACAUGGAGUCUCUGUUUACUAAGGUUGGAAAGUGGAAACUCCACUGAUGAUGAAAGUUAGAAGCUGGUAGCUUCUAGCCCUGGGGGAGCAACCCCUGCUCCACGUGCAGAUCUGCAGCCAUGAGAAGAGGUUCAGUGUCAAGGCAUCUCCCUGGAUGAGAGCUCUGCACAGGGAAAUAAUUGAACCAGCUGGACCUUAACCAUGUGGCAAGAGAAAAUGGUGAGUGGUAGUGUUGAGAUAUUCUCUACCAGUGAAGAGUGAAGUCCACCAUGAGUGCCUUCCUUAAUACUGCUGUUGAGGAGGAGGAGAGUAUGAAGAGGACUGGAUGGAUCUGGUCCACAGUUGAGGUCACAAAUCACAGAAUAGUCUGAGUUAGAAGGGAUCAAGUCCAGCUCUUAAGUGAAUGACCCACACCUGUGUUUGUCCUGCUGAUGUCAGCAGCAGGGUUUGGCUUCUGUGUCCAUGCAACUCUCUUUGAGGAUCUGUACUGCUUAGAAGGCAAUCAUCCUGACCAAGUGGAGCAAAAGCAGCUUUGCCAGCAGCCUGGCUG